rnacentral:pre_miRNA from 1 species
AAAGUACUCCCUCCGUCCCAAAAUUCUUGUCUUAGAUUUGUCUAGAUACGGAUGUAUCAAGUCACAUUUUAGUAUUAGAUACAUUUGUAUCUAGACAAAUCUAAGACAAGAAAUUUGGGACAGAGGGUGUAGUUG